AAACGCUUGAAGUCAGUCGCGUCGUCCGGAGAUCAACCUUGCUUUUGCUGGGCGUACUCUCCGGUUGACGGGCCAGCAUCAGUUUUGGCCACUGGAAAAGGGCGGAGGAAAUGUGGCAUCUUCGGAUGUGUUAUAGUCUUCCGUCGUAUACAGUGGCUGGGACUGAGGAACUCAGCACGCCGCAAGGCCGGGAUUUAUCCACGUACGUGCUUAGGAUGCUGGCAUAAUGGCUUUAAUCGA
rnacentral:rRNA from 1 species